GCUUGUACAGGUGCUGCAUGGCUGUCGUCAGCUCGUGUCGUGAGAUGUUCGGUUAAGUCCGCUAACGAGCGCAACCCUCACUGUGUGUUACAAGUGUCACACGGAACUGCCGGUCAUAAACCGGAGGAAGGUGGGGAUGACGUCAAGUCAGCAUGGCCUUUAUAUCCUGGGCUACACACACGCUACAAUGGGAAGGGACAAUAGGUUGCGAAGCCGCGAGGCGGAGCCAAUCCAGCAAAACUUCCCUCAGUUCAGAUUGCAGGCUGCAACUCGCCUGCAUGAAGUUGGAGUUGCUAGUAAACGCAGGUCAGCCAUACUGCGUUGAAUACGUUCCUGGGGCUU
rnacentral:rRNA from 1 species